rnacentral:rRNA from 1 species
GACGAACGCUGGCGGCGUGGAUUAGGCAUGCAAGUCGAACGGUAGGAUACCUUCGGGUAUCUGAGAGUGGCGAACGGGUGAGUAACACGUAGGUGAUCUACCCUCAAGAUUGGGACAACCCAGGGAAACUUGGGCUAAUACCGGAUGAAAGCAGCAGUGAUGUUGUUUGAAAGGUGGCGUAAGCUGCCGUUUGGGGAUGAGCCUGCGCUCUAUUAGUUAGUUGGCGGGGUAAAGGCCCACCAAGGCGAUGAUAGAUAGGCGGCCUUAACGGGUGGUCGCCCACACUGGGAUUGAGAUACGGCCCAGACUCCUACGGGAGGCAGCAGUCGAGAAUAGUCUACAAUGGUCGGAAGACUGAUAGUGCGACGCCGCGUGAACGAUGAAUCCCUUCGGGGUGUAAAGUUCUUUUAUAUGUGAGCAGUGCUUCUUAUAUUAACAGUAUGGGGAGAGAGAUAUUAGCAUAUGAAUAAGCAACGGCUAACUCCGUGCCAGCAGCCG